rnacentral:rRNA from 1 species
UACGUAGGGUGCGAGCGUUGUCCGGAAUUACUGGGCGUAAAGAGCUCGUAGGUGGUUUGUCGCGUUGUUCGUGAAAACUCACAACUCAAUUGUGGGCGUGCGGGCGAUACGGGCAGACUGGAGUACUGCAGGGGAGACUGGAAUUCCUGGUGUAGCGGUGGAAUGCGCAGAUAUCAGGAGGAACACCGGUGGCGAAGGCGGGUCUCUGGGCAGUAACUAACGCUGAGGAGCGAAAGCGUGGGGAGCGAACAGG